CCGGCCCGGCCCCCGCUCGGACGGUGCGGCAGCCGCCGAGAGCAGCCGAGAGUCCCGUGGACGCGAGCGGAAUACUGAUGCUGGUGGGGAGCGGGAGGAGGAGGAGGAGGAGGAGGAGGAGGGAGGAGGAGGGAGGGCGCCGAGGGGAGAGUGGCCGGGGAAGCUGGGGAGGGAGGGCAGGAGAGGAGGCGAGGAAGGGGGAGGGGGCACGGGGAGGGAGAGGGGAGAGGGAGGAUGGAGGGAAGGGGAGCCAGAGCCGAGGGGGGGAGGGAGGGAGCAAAGGAGGAAGGGAGGGAGGAGGAGAGGCAAGGAGGAGGGAGAAGAGAGAGAAAGGGGAGUAGAGAAGAGAAGGGGUUAUAGGGGAAGAGGGAGGGGAAGCGGCGGUGUGGUGGAGGGAGAAGGGGGCUGGGGCUCGAACUUGGAGAACUCUGAGACCUCCAUGGAGUGGAUGGGAUGGAGGGGACCUGAUGGGUGCUGCGGGAAAAGUGGGGAAGAGGGAGGCGGGAAAGCGGGAGAGCAGUGGAGGAGAGAUGGGGGGUUGGGGGGUGGGGAGGACGGGAAGGAAUGGGUUGGGGGAAAAGGAAAGCCAAAGAAGUAUUAGGAGAGGGCCGGAUCCAAGUGGGAAGGAUGAGAGUUGAUGCUCUCACGGAGCCAGAAGUGGCCUGACAGGGAUGUCAGGAGGGAACUGAGGCAGGAUCAGUGGGUGGGUGGUAUAGAGAGGCCUGGAGGAGGCCGCAGAGCUGGGGAGGUAUUGGGAAGCCAGGACAAGGGGGAGCGUUUCUUGACGUCCACUGUUAGCCGUCUCCUCAUCUGAUGAGAAGGAUGGAGCCUCAGAUCAGUCUCCAUUCUAGGAAGGGCUUUGGAGGGAGUUUCUCACGAGGGGAGUGGGGCCUGGCUUCUCACAGGGGGAAUGAGCAGGGUUGCUGGCUCUCACCCCCUGCCCGGGACCUGUGCGGAGUAGAGGCAAAGCCCAGCCCCCUCCACACUCUCACCUUCCCGGGUGCAGGCAGAGGGUGCUGGGACACACUGAGAGGUGUGAAGCUGGUGCCAGCCUAGGGGAGAGGGGGGAGGGCUGGAAGCUUGAGAGAGGUCACAAGGACGUCAGUCUUCUCCACUCAUCACUGGGUGUUCUCACCUGCUCUCUGCCCCCGCCCCCAAAGCUGGGCACUGAGGAAGAGGCUUGGGACAGAGGGACCCAGUGUAAAAGGCAGGCAGAAGUUUCCCUAUCUCUGCCUCCCCCAAGGUGGGGGAAAAAGAAACCUGGCUACUAACUUAGGACAGGGAAGAGGGGAAGGGAUGAAGAUGCCUUCUCUCAGGACCAGGGUCCUUGUUCUGAAAACCCUCAGGGGUCCAAGAGACUAGGAGAUUGGCCCUGCCUCUGAAGCAGGCAGCCGCAGGGGCCAGCCCUGGGACUGGAAGGGAAGGGGCCACACAGACAUUUGCUGAGAGCCGGAACCGAACUUGCUAGGCGGUGACCCAGGGCUCACAGAGGGGUGAGGUCAUGGGAGGAUGCCUUAGAAACAGCUGGGGUGGGUAGUGGGGGACACACAGAACGGAAAGCCACAGGCACAACCAAAGAGAGGAGGGCUUAGCCAGGACCAGAGCCCGGUAGGUGCCUCCUGGCAGUGCUGAAAUCUGGUUAGGAGCCUGGAUGAGAGACUCUUGGUGAGACUCAGGGUCUUUGCUGACACCACGGACUCUUGGCUGUCUGCUGUGGAACAGGGCCGUCUGCUUGAGGAUCAGCUGCCAGGAAUGUGGGCUUGUGGCUGUUGAAGGUCUGCAGUUCCCUGCACAUCCAGCCAGUGGCUACAAGAGGGUCCGGGAAGCCUCUAGUUCUUCUGGAAUCUCAGGCUUGCCUGUCCCAGCAGAGGAGGGUGGUUGUCAUUGCUAGAGGAGGCCUGGGCAAGCCACUGAGCCUGGGAAACUCACCCUCUAGGGAACAGGGUGACUCAAGGGCCUCUUCUAGAAAGCUCACACGCCAUGCAGAGAGUGAAAGGCAGAAAGGAGGAAGAAGCUGGUGGGGGAAUGAAGCUGAGGAGACUCACAGGCCUGGAAGAGGUGACUUUGCAUCCACACCUGGAUGCUCAGGAGAAAGUAGGAACAGGCAGGAAGGGGCCAUCAGAUGACAGCGAUUGGGGGUGGAGGGUGGGGGAGUCUGUCUGAAAGGCUGAGAAAAGUGGAGACACAGAAAGGCAGGAAGAGCCGAGCAGAAUCACUUCACAAUGUGAUGCCAACUUCCAUGCCACCCGGUUCUGAGGAUGGAUCCAGUUUGACAAGUACAGUGUCAACCUCCAUGCCACCUCAGUUCCACCCUGAUGCCUGAGGCUAACCUUCAGCCAAGGCUAGUCCUGAUUAGCGGCAACCUUGAAACGGUCUCAUGUAGCCCAGGGUAGCCUCAAACUCACAAUGUAAAGGAGGAUGGCUUUGAACUUCUGAUCCUCCUGCCUCCACUUUCCAAACGCUAAUGACAGUCAUGUGUCACCAUGCCUGGUGCGGGGUAUGGAACCUAGGGUUGCAAGUGUUCUAGGCAUAUGCUCUACUGACUGAGUCCCAGCCUCAUCUAUUCAAUGUUUUCAACAUGGCCUUGAACACACCGGAACCUGUGGUAGGUGAGCCUUAUGGUUCGGGUUUGAGAAGCCUCAGCCCCAGGGCUCAUGCUUUGAACACUGGGUCCCCAGCUGGUGGCACUGUUUUGAUGGCAACCAGAAGUGGGUCACUGGGGUUGGCCUUUGAUGGUCUAGUUCUCCACUUCUCAGUCCCUGCCACAUGAAUAGCUUCAGCCUCCUGCCUCAGUGCUAGGUAUCCUCUCAGGACAGACGGAAAAUCCUUAGUAUCAGCACCCCCAUGAUGCACUGAAGCCCCUCAACAUCAGCCCCUCAGAACACACUGACCCCCCCAUUAGGCCUCCUCCCCAGGGCACACUGAAAGUCCCCAACAACAGCUCCCCCUGUGACUCACUGAAACUCCUUAGAAACCAUGAGUUUUUGCUCCUGAACCAUCAGAACAGCUGUAUAGUAGGAGACGGUGGCCGCGAUCCUUCAAGUCACAAAGGCUUGGAGAGAUACAUGGUCUCAAAACACCAGGCUAGAGGACUCAGUGCCUGCAUUCACUCCCAGGAUCCAUGGAAAAGGCACUGUGGUGGUGGCAUGCACCAGCAAUCCCAGCCCGAGCAAAAGGAGAGAGGAGGGUCCUCUGGGCUGGCUGGGCAGCCCAUUCAGCCAAAUCAGGUUCAGCAAGAGACCCUGGCUCACAAGCAAGUGGAGGGGCUGCAGAGAUGGCUCAGUGGUUAAGAGCACAGGCUGCUCUUCUCGAGGACUCCAUUCCCAGCACCCACAUGGCAGCUCAUAACUGUCUCUAACUCCAGUCUUAGGAGAUUUAAUGCUCUCUUCUGGCCUCUGAGGGCACUAGGCACUCGAGGUGCAUGUACAUACAUACAGGCAAAGCACUCACACACAUAAAACUUAAAAAAGCCAAAGAGCAACUGAGAAACACAUUUGACAAUGACUUCUGGAUUCCACAUGCACAUACACACAACUGUACACACACACAUACACAAGCCUGCAUGCAUAUACAUAUGCACAUAUACACACCUGUGCAUAUAUGCACAAAUACACCUACACAUAUACAUACACACCCACAUAUGCACACAGGUACACAAGCCUGCACACACACCUGCACCACAUGUGCACAUGUACCUACCUGUACAUACACACACCUGUACACAUACAUACCUGCACAUGUGUGCAUACACACCUGCACAUACAUGUGCACAUAAACACAUCUGUACAUACAUAUGCACAUAGAAGCAUGUAUGUGUACCCACAUAAGCACAUACAAACAUGUAUUGUGCACACACAUGCAUGCAAACAAAAACAAACCCAGGUUAGGGCUAGGCAGCUCAUAAUCCCAGCACUCAUGAGGUUGAGGCAGGAGGAGAGAGAGUUUGAGUCCAGCCUGACCUAUGUGUUGAGAUCCUGUCUCAAAAUACAACAUCAAAAAGGCAGAGGGGAGGCCGGGGAGAAUGUUCAGUGGGUAGAAGCUCUUGCCACCAAACCUGGUGACCUGAGUUUGAUUCCUGGAGCCUCCGUGGCGAAGGGAGAGAACCUCCUCCUAGUGGUGAUCUCUGCCCUCCGUGUGUGACCUUUACAUGGUGAGACCAGCAAGGGCUCUGCCAGCUUCUGAGCUGAUGGACGUCCUAAGGCUGCCACGCCAGGAGGAAGCUCAGCCUCCCAAGAGAGGCCUCCCCUAACCCUGCCUCUUUGCCUUCUCCAAAGGAAAUCAAGGGCCGGAACUGCCCAGCCGAGUCCUUCCCUAACUCCUGACUUACAGGAAGCUUAAGGUAGAGUGAAAUGGUUUUGCUGUGAAGUCCUGGGGGGUGAUUUGUCACACAGCAGUAGGUGACUGCAGUUAUGGGUAACACAAACAAAUCUCUCAUUUAUCUUGGCCAAUGUGAAGCCUUUUUCAGGGAGUAGAAAGUGUGACUGGAAUGAGCAAGGUGAGUACCAUCUUCAACUUGAUUUCCAUACGAAAUUUCCUACAUGCCUUGGGGAGAUGGCUGCUUCCAUCUCUAGGGUAGGGCAAAUGAUCUAGAGAAAGCUUCUGUCUUAGUUAGGGUUUCUAAACAAAACAAAACAAAAACAACAAAAAACUAUGACCAAAAAGCAAAAGCAAGUUGGGCAGGAAAGAAAGGGUUUAAUUGGCUUAUACUUCCAGGUCACUGUCCAUCAUUGUAGGAAGUCAGAACAGGAACUCAAGCAGGGCUGGAACCUGGAGGCAGGAACUGAUGCAGAGGCCAUGGAGGGGUGCCGCUCACUGGCUUGCUUCCCCUGGCUUGCUCAGCCCACUUUCUUAUAGAACCCAGGACCAGCAGCCCAGGGAUGGCCCCACCUACAAUGGACUGGACCCUCCCCCAUUGAUCACUAGUUGAGAAAAUGCCUUUCAGCUGGGUCUCAUGGAGGCAUUUCCUCAAGUUAGGUUCCUUCCUCUCUGAUGACUCUAGCUUGUGUCAAGUUGGCACACAAACCAGCCAGUACAGCUUCUGUACCAGAAAGUGCAUAUACUAAUAGGCGGUCAUAUCAAAAGGGCACGGGAGCCCAUGGAGCCCUCUGGAAUGGGCUCCCACUCACAAAUAUGGGGACAAUGUGAGAGUCAAAAAGAAUAAAAGGUAUUGGUGUGUGUGUGUGUGUGUGUGUGUGUGUGUGUGAUGCAUGUGUGUAUGUGUGUACAUACAUAUGCACAUUAUUUAGGCUAGCAUCAAUGUGACAGUGCACUCAUGGAAAGAGCGAUGGGUCAUGACCAAUUGACAUCUUCUGCUUGUUUUUUUUAGGCAGGGUCUCAAGUAGCCUAGGCUAGCCUCAAACUCCCUAGGUAACUGAGGAUAGCCAUGAACUCCUGAUUGUCCUGCCUUAGCCUAUGAACACUAGCACAAUGGGCCUUGAAGUUUAUAGCACAAUCUGCCUUUAGUUCUCUCUGUUUCCUGCUCUGCCAAGAUGUGCAGCACUAUAGUCCUGUGAGUGAACAGCCUCAUGCUCUGCAACCACAGCCAUGAAACAGCCACCACCACGCCUGCCCUGCCAUGCUGGACUGGACCUUCAAACUGUAAGCCAAACCAACCUCCCACCCUUAGGUUGCUUCUUGUUAGACUUAUGGUCACAACAAAGAGAAAAGUAACCCCAGCACUAAUGUCAUCUUACAGGAAUUAGACCCAGGAACAUGUCAGAAAACAUGAAACCCAGAGUGUGGGGCAUUCUUGAGGACAACCAGCAUACAAGUUCAAUAACACUGUGCCAAUAACUACUGUCACAGGUCUAUCAUUCCAGCUGCUUGAGAGGCUCAGACAGGAAGACCAUAAGUACAAGGCCAGUCUGGUCUACAGAAUGAGUUCAAGGAUAGCCUGAGCAACUUAGGAAGACCCUACGUAAAAAUAAGUAAAAAGAGGGGCAGGGAUGUAACUCAUUGGUAAGCCCCUGCCUAAAAUUCCCCAGUGAGGGGCUGGGGCGUGGCUCAGUGGUAGAGCCUCUGCCUAGAAUCCCCCAGUGAGGGGCUGGGGCGUGGCUCAGUGGUAGAGUCCCUGCCUAGAAUCCCCCAGUGAGGGGCUGAGGGUGUAACUCAGUGGUAAUUCACUUGCCAGGCAUACUUGUGACCCUCGACUCAAUCUUUGGUUUCUUAAAAAGUAUGGAAAGCCUAUUCUAGUCUGAGAUUACAGAGCUCACCCAGGAGCAGUGUGUGGUUCCUGCUGCCAUCCCAGUUUAGAGAAUCUUUGUAUUAAUGUUUUUCUAGAUUUUUUCUUUUUUUGAGGAUUUUUUUUAUGUGCACUGGGUGUUUUGCUUUAUUUUGUCUGCAUGUGUGUCUGUGUGAGUGUGCCAGAUCCCCUGGAACUGGAGUUACAGACAGUUGUGAGAUGAAUGUGGGCUCUGGGAUUGAACCCGGGAAGAGCAGCCAGUGUUCCUAACUGCUGAGCCUUUUCAGCCCUGUAUUAAAUUUUUAUGAUUUGUCUGUGUGUGAGACGUUUUGCCUGCAUGUAUGUCUGUGCACCAUUUGUGUGCAGUGCCCAUUGGAGCCAUAGAAGGAGCUGGAUCCUCUGGAAUUGUAGGGAGCUGCCAUGUGGGUGCUGGUAAUUGUCCUCUGUAAAAGCAGCCAGUGCUCUUAACAGCAGAGCCAUCUCUCCAGCCCCUAUUUAAAGGCCUAGGAGGUAGUCUUUGGACAACUGGCAUGGUGUGAACUUGGACUUCCUUAGGAGCAUCCGUGAGCUGGUGCCACUGCUGUUAGAGAUGACACUGCACUCACCGGACAGCGUUCUUCCUCUCUGGAGGGUCUCGUGGAAACACGAGUGUCUGACAAGUUCACAAUGACGAAUGUAAGCUGUGGGUGUUACAGUUUCCAAAGAAAUGCCAGGUUUGAAUGCUUGGUCCCCAGUUGGUGGUGCUGUUGUGGGAAACUGUAGAACCUUUAGGAGGAAGUGGGCCACAGGGGGUGGAACUUAUUUACAUCUUUGCCUGUUGUGGAACAGAAUAUUUGUUUAAUUAUGUAAAGAUGUGUUGCUGUUUCACCUUGCCUGCCCAAGGUACCUGAUUGGUCUAAUAAAAAGCUGAACAGCCAAUAGCCAGGCAGAAGAGGGAUAGGCAGGCCUGGUGGGCAGAGAGAAAAGGGGAACCAGCCAGACAGCCAGGGAUAGAUAGCUGGGGUCCAGCCAGCCAGACACAGAGGAAGCAGGAAAGCAGGAUGGACAGUACAUAGAUGAGGUAAACAAGCCUCGGGGUAGCACACAGAGUAAUAGAAAUGGGUUAAUUUAAGUUUUUUUAAAAAAGCUAGCUAGAAACAAGCCUAAGCUAAGGCUGAACAUUAAUAAUUAUAAGUCUCCAUGUCAUGGUUUGGGGCCUGGCAGUCUGGGAAAUCCUGCCACAUUUGCCCUACUUCCUGCCCCAUCUCUGCUUUCUGAUCUGUCCAGAUGUGCAGAGUCUUGGCCCCUGCUCCCUCUGCCAUGGAACCACGUGCUGCUGUGUCUUCCCUCCAUGACAGGCUGCGCCUCUUCAAACCACGAACCAUGCCCCUGGUGACCUUGUUGAUUCUGAGGGGCCACACAGGAUACCUGGUGAGGAAGCUUUGGGAGCCCAUGUACACUCGGCAGCGUUCCCAGGCCUAUGCUCCCUCCACUUUGCAAUGCUAUGAGUACAGACCAGGGAACAAGCCUGACGUGGCAGUCCAUGAGGUGACUGUGACCAAGGACCCAACACUGGACAUAGCCCAGGAGGCAGCUGUACACAGACACUCAGCAUUGGAUGGAGCCGAGAGGUGACUGUGUGCACGGAGAAGAGGCCUGAUCCUAGAGGGAGAGACACAGGAGGUGAUUCUUCCUUUCCCUGCACUUCUGGGAAGCGAGAAUUACCAUCCUUGCCUUGGAACAGAAGUGCAGCCGUGGGGCCUCUUCAUGAGCCCAGACAGCCCACCUGGGAGGGUUUGAAGGGGAACGGAACUUGCAGUGUGGAGGAACUACAGCAGGCAGGUGCAGUCGGCCUUUUUGGCAGGAUUGUCAGCUCCUAAUAGCGACACAGAGACUUGAUUUUUUAUUUAUUUAUUUUUGGUUUUUCGAGACAAGGUUUCUCUGUGUAGUUUUUGAUGCCUGUCCUGGAUCUCACUCUGUAGCCCAGGCUGGCCUCGAACUCACAGAGAUCCACCUGGCUCUGCCUCCCAAGUGCUAGGAUUAAAGGUGUGCGCCACCGCCACCCGUCAAGACUUAUUAUUAAUUAUGAAAGCUCAGCCAAAAGCUUAGGUUUGUCCUACUGGCUCUUAUAACUUAUAUUAGCCCAUUUUUAUUAAUUUACUUUCUGCCUCAUGGCUUUAUUACCUCAUCUCUGUACUGCCCAUCCUGCUUGCUCUGCGUCUGGCUGGUGACUCUGCCUAUCUUCUUCCCAGAGUCCUCUCUGCCUGGAAAUCCUGCCUAGCUAUUGGCCGUUUGGCUCUUUAUUAAACCAAUCAGACUGA